UGCAAACUUUCUGUGGGAAGAGGAAGAUGACGAUGCCAUACCAAAGUUCCAUGCAGCUUGUCCAUGCCUUGUCAAAAGAGGAUCUACACAGAGCGAUGAUGAUGCUAUCAUGGAGAUGAAGGGAGUCGCUGCGAGUGGUAUGUCAGGUGCUCCUAUAUUAAGUAGAAAAGGUGUAUCCGCAAUGCUUAUUGGAGGUGCACCUGGUUUCGCUGUUUCCGAAUAAAAGGCUGUGUUGGAGGAGUUUCUUACUGCUUCUAACAUCCAGUUCAGGGAGAACUCAUCUAUACAACAGUUGCUUCACAUCAUGCCCAUGCCAUUAGCAGUUAUAGGGAUAGAGCUUAGUAGUAGUGCUUGUUAUAUGUAGGUGUACCAUGAUUUUGGGGAAGCCUGGUGGCAUGCUCUAGCUAGGAUGGUGAGUUUAAUGAUCCACAGGAUGGAUCCUUCCAACAAGUGGGGCCAAAACAGCGGUUAGGUGGCAGUCAUAUGUAGAAAACCUGGUGCCAAUCUGUUAUGAGGAAAUUGCAAUUCUACAUAAGGAAUCUUCAGUAUUUCUACGCAUGCACGUUUUCGCAUCGGUUUGAAAUUUUUUAUCAAUCAGUCAUGAGGGUAGUGUGGAAAGCAUAGCUAUGUUUUUCCUAUAUUGCUGCUAUUCUAAACUGCCAUGUGUUUUUGAGGCUGGGAUAGUGGUGCUAUGUUUUGCAAACCUUGAAAGUUCAUUUGAAAUUUUGAGUGAUGGCUUGCUAUCUUUGGUUGAUGACUGCUUUUAAGAAACAUUAUUCUUUUGGUCCCUUUUGAAGCAUCAAAGUUGAUUCGUGUAAGUCAUGCACGGAGAUGCCGAUGAAGCUACAUUUACGAUUCUGCAAAUCUGUUAUCUUAGGUCCAUUUGUGCAUUUUCUCCCAAGAAGGCGCCGCCAACAGGGAUCUCCCGUGAGCACCAAACCUGUGGAGAACAAAACGGUGGCAGCACCCCCAGUUUUUUUUCCUUCCUCGCCAUG